GAUGAAGAACGCAGCGAAAUGCGAUACGUAGUGUGAAUUGCAGAAUUCAGUGAAUCAUCGAGUCUUUGAACGCACAUUGCGCCCCCUGGUAUUCCGGGGGGCAUGCCUGUCCGAGCGUCAUUGCUGCCCUCAAGCACGGCUUGUGUGUUGGGCCUCCGUCCUCCUCCCGGGGGACGGGCCCGAAAGGCAGCGGCGGCACCGCGUCCGGUCCUCGAGCGUAUGGGGCUUCGUCACCCGCUCUUGUAGGCCCGGUCGGCGCUUGCCGACACAUCAAUCUUUUUUCCAGGUUGACCUCGGAUCAGGUAGGGAUACCCGCUGAACUUAAGCAUAUCAAUAAGCGGAGGA
rnacentral:misc_RNA from 1 species